rnacentral:ncRNA from 1 species
AGAGUUUGAUCCUGGCCCAGAAGGAGCGCUAGCUAUAUGCUUAACACAUACAAGUCGAACGUUAUUUUUGGGGAGCUGGGCAGAAGGAAAAGAGGCUCCUAGAUAAACGUAGCUUGUCUCGCCCAGGAGGUGAGAAGAGUUGAGAACAAAGUAGCAAACGGGUGCAUAACGCGUGGGAAUCUACCAAAUAGUUCAGGCCAAAUCCUGAAGAAAGCUAAAAACACAGUUUCAUGAGCCUGCGUAGUAUUAGGUAGUUAGUUAGGUAAAGGCUGACCAAGCCAAUGAUGCUUAGCUGGUCUUUUUGGAUGAUCAACUACACUGGGACUGAGACACGACCCAAACUCCCACGGGGGCAGCAGUGGGGAAUCUUGGACAAUGGGCAAAAGCCCGAUCCAGCAAUAUCGCAUGAGUGAAGAAGGGUAAUGCCGCUUGUAAAGCUCUUUUGUCGAGUGCCGCGGUAAGAUGGGGGGGCAAGUGUUCUUCGAAAUGACUGGAUGUAAAGGGCACGUAGGCGGUGAAUCAGGUUGAAAGUGAAAGCCGCCAAAAACUGUCGGAAUGCUCUCAAAACCAAUUCUCUUGAGUGAGACAGAGGAGAGUGGAAUUUCAUGUGUAGGGGUAAAAUCUGGAGAUCUACAAAGGAACACCAAAAGCGAAGACAACUCUCUAGGUCCCUACAGAUGCUGAGGUGUGAAAGCAUGGGGAGCGAACAGGAUUAGUUACCCUGGUAGUCCAUGUCGUAAACGAUGAGUGUUUGCCCUUGGUCUAUGCAGAUCAGGGGCCCAGCUAACGCAUGAAACACUCCGCCUGGGGAGUAUGGUUGUAAGACCGAAACUUAAAAGAAUUGACGGGGGCCUGCACAAACGGUAGAGCAUGUGGUUUAAUUUGAUACAACGCGCAAAACCUUACUAGCCCUUGACAUAUGAACAAGAAAACCUGUCCUUAACGGGAUGGUACUGACUUUCAUAUAGGUGCUGCAUGGCUGUUGUCAGCUAUUGUCAUGAGAUGUUUGGUCAAGUCCUAUAACGAGUGAAACCCUCAUUUUGUGUUGCUGAGACAUGCGCCUAAGGAGAAAGUCUUUGAAAUCGAAGUUACCUAAGGAACCGAGUGAUGUGCCAGCGCUACUAAUUGAGUGCCAGCACGUAGCUGUGCUGUCAGUAAGAAGGUAGCCGACACCUUUUAAAGCACUUUCUAUUUCUAUUUAGCGCUCUUUUUUUAUUGUAGCUAGCGCGCUUGACUAAUGAUGAUAGAAAGGGAAUUUGUCGCUUGUUUAGUAAAGUCGAUGUUUUUGGUAUUAUCUUACAGGUGAAGACGACGUUGAUUUGAUGGCAGAGAAAGACUCGACAUUUAGGCAAGACGCCCGAUGGUGUGGUACGUAGUGGGUUUAGUACGCCCCUCCCAAACAAACGGCUCCGAACCAAACAAAAAGGUGUGUGCCACACUCACGAAAGAAUACCAGUGAUAUACUGGAGUAAAGUGGGGAUGAAGUCAAGUCCACAUGGCCCGUAUGGGAUGGGCCACACACUGCUACAAUGGCAAUUACAAUGGGAAGCAAGGCUGUAAAGUGGAGCAAAUCCAAAAAGAUUGCCUCAGUUCGAAUUGUUCUCUGCAACUCGGGAACAUGAAGUUGGAAUCACUAGUAAUCGCAGAUCAGUAUGACGCGGUGAAUAUGUACCCGGGCCCUGUAUACACCGCUCGUCACACCCUAGGAAUUAGUUUCGCCUGAAGCAUCAGACCAAUGAUCACCCAUGACUUUUGUGGCACACUGAUGUUAGGCAUAUUUAUAUGUCUAAGCACCAUAACUUACCCAUGUUUUAGCUAAGUUUUGAGGAUAAAAUACA